GUAGGGAAUCUUCCGCAAUGGACGCAAGUCUGACGGAGCAACGCCGCGUGUGUGAAGAAGGUUUUCGGAUCGUAAAGCACUGUUAUUAGAGAAGAACAGCCGAUAGAGUAACUGUUAUCGGUUUGACGGUAUCUAACCAGAAAGUGACGGCUAACUACGUGCCAGCAGCCGCGGUAAUACGUAGGUCACAAGCGUUGUCCGGAUUUAUUGGGCGUAAAGGGAGCGCAGGCGGUUUGUUAAGUCUGAUGUGAAAGCCCACGGCUCAACCGUGGAACGGCAUUGGAAACUGGCAAACUUGAGUAUAGAAGAGGAAAGUGGAAUUCCAUGUGUAGCGGUGAAAUGCGUAGAUAUAUGGAGGAACACCAGUGGCGAAGGCGACUUUCUGGUCUAUAACUGACGCUGAGGCUCGAAAGCGUGGGGAGCGAACAGGAUUAGAAACCCGAGUAGUCC
rnacentral:rRNA from 1 species